rnacentral:rRNA from 2 species
GACGCAAGUCUGAUGGAGCAACGCCGCGUGAGUGAAGAAGGCUUUCGGGUCGUAAAACUCUGUUGUUGGAGAAGAAUGGUCGGCAGAGUAACUGUUGUCGGCGUGACGGUAUCCAACCAGAAAGCCACGGCUAACUACGUGCCAGCAGCCGCGGUAAUACGUAGGUGGCAAGCGUUAUCCGGAUUUAUUGGGCGUAAAGCGAGCGCAGGCGGUUUUUUAAGUCUGAUGUGAAAGCCCUCGGCUUAACCGAGGAAGUGCAUCGGAAACUGGGAAACUUGAGUGCAGAAGAGGACAGUGGAACUCCAUGUGUAGCGGUGAAAUGCGUAGAUAUAUGGAAGAACACCAGUGGCGAAGGCGGCUGUCUGGUCUGUAACUGACGCUGAGGCUCGAAAGCAUGGGUAGCGAACAGGAUUAGAUACCCUGGUAGUCCAUGCCGUAAACGAUGAAUGCUAGGUGUUGGAGGGUUUCCGCCCUUCAGUGCCGCAGCUAACGCAUUAAGCAUUCCGCCUGGGGAGUACGACCGCAAGGUUGAAACUCAAAGGAAUUGACGGGGGCCCGCACAAGCGGUGGAGCAUGUGGUUUAAUUCGAAGCAACGCGAAGAACCUUACCAGGUCUUGACAUCUUUUGAUCACCUGAGAGAUCAGGUUUCCC